rnacentral:rRNA from 1 species
CGGUCGCAGAGACGUGACCUUCUCUUCGGAGCCUGGAACACAGGUGCUGCAUGGCUGUCGUCAGCUCGUGUCGUGAGAUGUUGGGUUAAGUCCCGCAACGAGCGCAACCCCCGUCCUUAGUUGCUACCAUUUAGUUGAGCACUCUAAGGAGACUGCCGGUGAUAAGCCGCGAGGAAGGUGGGGAUGACGUCAAGUCCUCAUGGCCCUUACGGGCUGGGCUACACACGUGCUACAAUGGCGGUGACAAUGGGAUGCGAAGGGGCAACCCCUAGCAAAUCUCAAAAAGCCGUCUCAGUUCGGAUUGGGCUCUGCAACUCGAGCCCAUGAAGUUGGAAUCGCUAGUAAUCGUGGAUCAGCACGCCACGGUGAAUACGUUCCCGGG